GUCCCUGAAGAAUAAGAGAAAAAAACAGCUGCCCCCUGCUGGUCAAACAUGCUAAGUGUUAGUGUAAUCCUCCUUCUAGGCUUGACCAACAAAGCUACUUAAUAAGAUUGGAUCACAUUCCUAGUGGAAUGAUGAUUGUCAAGACAUCGCUCCAGUCAUUUAAAGAUGGAAGAUGGCUUGAUGACAUGGAUGUUCAAAUGUGAGCCUGCACUGAAGGGUCCACUGACUCCUGAAUCGGACUUCAUCAGCCAACGUACUUGUAAAGGAGAAAGCUAUGUUAGCAUUUCUUUUUAUAAAAUACUACAAUAAUCAGAUCUACACAUGCUGUGAAAAACUUUUGUGUGUGAUUUCACAUAUAUCUGUCAACUAUGAAUGACCUGAAAUUGUCAUAGGAUAUUCAAUAUAUUUAUUCAGCUAUAUGCUUUAGACACUGACAGUAUAGUAAGAGAUUGCAGUGUAAGAUAUCUGUGUGAUGAUGUAUUUUUAAUCCUUAUGCUAACUAAGAGCGAUAAAACAUAAUCCAGUGUCUUUUGCAUGUUCCUAGGUGCACUUUAAUGGACACACUGUUAUAAUUAAUAUUUGACAUUGCAGUGCAUAUUAUGUACAUGAUACCAUGAUUCAGGCAUGUGCAAAAGUUUGAAUACUCCUGUUCAGAUGAGGUUUUGUUGAUUUUCUAAGUGAAAAUAAAACAAAAUAAUCUAAUAUAACAUCUUCUACAGGGAACACAAAUACAGGGUAUUUUUUCUACAAGUUUUAGCACUUCAGUUCUAUUUAUUUGCUGAGUUUACUGUACUUGCCCCCAAACUUUUGCAUUAUAGUAUGAAUUUUUCUGUAGCUACUUUGA